rnacentral:lncRNA from 1 species
CCAGAACAAAUCAUGAUGUGCUGCUCUGGAAAAGGGACCCACAACCCAGCCAUCACUGUCCACAGACCCUGAGCCUUUAUGGGGUGGAUGUGGUAGCAAGAGCCAGACCCGGAAAUCAGACAAGUUGGGAUUUGAACUCAGGUAGUUGGGGUCUGAGGAGGCCAAGGGAAGCUGGUUUGUCUGCAAUGAUGGAAGCAGUUGGGGAUAAAGAAGUGGCUGGACUUUGAUUAUCACUGGGUGUUGGCAGCUGCCCCCUUGGGGCUGACAUCCGGAGCUUAAAUCCCCACACCAGGACGGAGGAGCCAAAGGAAACCUUUUAAUUUAUAGCUAGACUGAGUCCUAGAGCAAUUGAGAGCUGGGCUCAUGGACCAAAAUGUGGAGACCAGCUUCGUGUCAUACUUUGAUGUUGGACCGAAUCAUGACACAGCCUCUAUAGUGUCACCCUUCUCUCAGUCAGAUAAUGGAGAACACUCACACCCAUCCUACCUGGUUUCCAUGUUGCUACUAAGGAGCAUCAAGCUAAUCUCCAAGAAUAACAAAACUGAAACUUUGUUUGAAAGAAAGUCAUAUAUAAUGAGGCGCUGUGGACACCUUGUCCAGAUCCACCUAAAGGCCCACAGAACAAGGCCCUAAGUCACAUCACAGGGGACCUUACUAGAGGCUCAUUCGAAAUCCUUGAGUGACAUCUACUUUAAAAUACUGUAAUCCACUCUGAACCAGGCACUUACUAGUUUAUCUGCACCGUGACCAUAUGCAGAUAUGACCUGACCAUAUGUCUCCGAUUUUCCCCCUUCAAUGACUACGUUUAGAUAAAUUCAGAAUUUUGAGUUUUAACUGUCCCAUUCUUAGAGCUGUUAAGACAGUAAUAGAUUAAAUAGGAUGAGCCAGGCAGCCAUACUUCUUGUACAGUUAUCCCCAGAGAUAAAUGUACAAUGUUGUUCUGGGGGCUGUGGUGGUGUCUGCAGUGUAACUAAGGUUGACAGACUGCCUGCAUGUGGGUGGCUGUCUCCUUUCCAGCUGUGACCAGCUGAAUUAUAUCACCUGUCCCAUUUGAUGUAUUAGGAUAUGCCCAAGCUCAAGAUGCAUGUUGCUGCAAUAGGGAAAUUAAUGUCCACCACUGGAGGCAAUUAAUAAUGAUUAAAAGCAAAACAGCAGGGUUAAAUCUGUGCAUUUAACGGAGUGUUCAUACACUUUUAUACUAUAUUUCAGCCUAGUUGCUCAAAGGGGAAAAAAACUCUUUUGGGGAACUAGAACAAUCUUAUCUUAAUUAACACAUAAACUUAGAUGAAAUGUCAAAGUUGCUUCAAUAAAACAUGCUUAUUCAUUAUUUACUCAGUUCUCCCUUGAUGUAGUUGGAGAGAAACAUAGCACAAAAAGUAGUAGACUAUUAGAGAGAAAUGUUAAGAUUAAGUUGUAUAGUGAGCAGAACACUCAGACUUUGGAACUGCUUCAUUCAACCUAUGAAUUGGAGAAAGAUAUUUUCACAACUUUUAUUUUACAGUUCUUUAGUUAAUGCAUUAAAAAUUAGCAACA